UUCCUCUUUCGCCACAGCACGGGUCUUCUUGUUUCCGUUUUUGUUUUUCUUUCUUAUUUUCUCUUUUAUUCCAUUGUACAAAAUAAUUUUAUAUAUGAUCUUAAAACAUUCUUCUAAACUACAAAUGCAUAAAUGUCUGUGAACAGCAUGUGCUUUUGCAGGAAGGACGUUGGACUCUUGCACUAUAAGUUAAAAACAUCGCUUAUAAACAAUACAUCGCAGCACACUUGCAGAGAGAGCACUGCCAUGAUGUUUUGCAAAUGUAAAUCAACCUUUGAAGAAUCAACUUUAAAGGCAGGAAGUAGGGGC
rnacentral:lncRNA from 1 species